rfam:Triticum aestivum genome assembly, contig: Triticum_aestivum_CS42_TGACv1_scaffold_513192_6BS
AUUGUACUCCCUCCGUCUGGAAUUACUUGUCGCAAAAAUGGAUAAAAACGGAUGUAUCUAAAAUUAAAAUACAUCUAGAUACAUCCAUUACUUUGAUAAGUAUUUUCAGACGGAGGGAGUACUCC